rnacentral:rRNA from 1 species
GUGACUGCGUACCUUUUGUAUAAUGGGUCAGCGACUUAUAUUCUGUAGCAAGGUUAACCGUAUAGGGGAGCCGCAGGGAAACCGAGUCUUAACUGGGCGUUAAGUUGCAGGGUAUAGACCCGAAACCCGGUGAUCUAGCCAUGGGCAGGUUGAAGGUUGGGUAACACUAACUGGAGGACCGAACCGACUAAUGUUGAAAAAUUAGCGGAUGACUUGUGGCUGGGGGUGAAAGGCCAAUCAAACCGGGAGAUAGCUGGUUCUCCCCGAAAGCUAUUUAGGUAGCGCCUCGUGAAUUCAUCUUCGGGGGUAGAGCACUGUUUCGGCUAGGGGGCCAUCCCGGCUUACCAACCCGAUGCAAACUGCGAAUACCGAAGAAUGUUAUCACGGGAGACACACGGCGGGUGCUAACGUCCGUCGUGAAGAGGGAAACAACCCAGACCGCCAGCUAAGGUCCCAAAGUCAUGGUUAAGUGGGAAACGAUGUGGGAAGGCCCAGACAGCCAGGAUGUUGGCUUAGAAGCAGCCAUCAUUUAAAGAAAGCGUAAUAGCUCACUGGUCGAGUCGGCCUGCGCGGAAGAUGUAACGGGGCUAAAACCAUGCACCGAAGCUGCGGCAGCGAC